rnacentral:rRNA from 1 species
UACAGAGGGGGCAAGCGUUGUUCGGAAUUACUGGGCGUAAAGGGUGCGUAGGCGGCGGGGCAAGUCGGAUGUGAAAUCUCAGGGCUCAACCCUGAAACUGCAUUCGAUACUGCCUUGCUCGAGGACUGGAGAGGAGAUUGGAAUUCACGGUGUAGCAGUGAAAUGCGUAGAUAUCGUGAGGAAGCCCAGUGGCGAAGGCGGAUCUCUGGACAGUUCCUGACGCUGAGGCAGGAAGGCCAGGGAGCAAACGGG